rnacentral:lncRNA from 1 species
UCCUGAUGCAGACGCCAAAAUCCCAGAGGACAGGGUGUGCAAAUGCAUCUUAGCAUCCCCUGGCACUUCCCAAGGCCAUACUCGAUGUUUGCUGAAUGGAGCGGUUUGGUCCAGUUCUCACAAGUCUCCGCUCGCUCGCCUGGAGGACAUCUGAGGGAUUCAAAUGAAGAACUAAGUCUAAGGGUGAACCGGCCAAGCUAUGGAAGGCACCAAAUCUUGAACUUAACAGCACUGAGCCAGGGAUGGUGGACCUCUCCCUUGGGAACCAGUUUGUUUCCCCCAGAUCAAGUCCUCAUUCCUUUUCAUCACAAAGAAAUAAAUAU